rnacentral:rRNA from 1 species
AGAGUUUGAUCAUGGCUCAGGAUGAACGCUAGCUACAGGCUUAACACAUGCAAGUCGAGGGGCAGCAUGUUGGUUGCUUGCAACCAAUGAUGGCGACCGGCGCACGGGUGAGUAACGCGUAUCCAACCUACCCUUGUCCAUCGGAUAACCCGUCGAAAGGCGGCCUAACACGAUAUGCGGUUCACAGCAGGCAUCUAAGGUGAACGAAAUGUGAAGGAGAAGGAUGGGGAUGCGUCUGAUUAGCUUGUUGGCGGGGUAACGCCACCAAGGCUACGAUCAGUAGGGGUUCUGAGAGGAAGGUCCCCCANAUUGGAACUGAGACACGGUCCAAACGUCCUACGGGAGGCCA